rnacentral:rRNA from 1 species
AGCGAACGCUGGCGGCAGGCCUAACACAUGCAAGUCGAAUGAAGUCUUCGGACUUAGUGGCGGACGGGUGAGUAACACGUGGGAACGUGCCUUUAGGUUCGGAAUAACUCAGGGAAACUUGUGCUAAUACCGAAUGUGCCCUUCGGGGGAAAGAUUUAUCGCCUUUAGAGCGGCCCGCGUCUGAUUAGCUAGUUGGUGAGGUAAAGGCUCACCAAGGCUACGAUCAGUAGCUGGUCUGAGAGGAUGACCAGCCACAUUGGGACUGAGACACGGCCCAAACUCCUACGGGAGGCAGCAGUGGGGAAUCUUGCGCAAUGGGCGAAAGCCUGACGCAGCCAUGCCGCGUGGAUGAUGAAGGUCUUAGGAUUGUAAAAUCCUUUCACCGGUGAAGAUAAUGACUGUAGCCGGAGAAGAAGCCUCGGCUAACUUCGUGCCAGCCGCCGCAGUAAAAC